rnacentral:rRNA from 1 species
UACGUAGGGUGCGAGCGUUGUCCGGAAUUAUUGGGCGUAAAGAGCUUGUAGGCGGUUUGUCGCGUCUGCCGUGAAAAUCCGGGGCUCAACCCCGGACUUGCGGUGGGUACGGGGCAGACUAGAGUGUGGUAGGGGAGACUGGAAUUCCUGGUGUAGCGGUGAAAUGCGCAGAUAUCAGGAGGAACACCGAUGGCGAAGGCAGGUCUCUGGGCCACUACUGACGCUGAGAAGCGAAAGCGUGGGGGAGCGAACAGG